rnacentral:rRNA from 1 species
CACCCACGCCGAAAGACCAAGGGUUCCUGCGCAACGUUAAUCGACGCAGGGUUAGUCGGUUCCUAAGGCGAGGCUGAAAAGCGUAGUCGAUGGGAAACAGGUUAAUAUUCCUGUACUUCUGGUUACUGCGAUGGAGGGACGGAGAAGGCUAGGCCAGCUUGGCGUUGGUUGUCCAAGUUUAAGGUGGUAGGCUGAAAUCUUAGGUAAAUCCGGGGUUUCAAGGCCGAGAGCUGAUGACGAGUCGUCUUUUAGAUGACGAAGUGGUUGAUGCCAUGCUUCCAAGAAAAGCUUCUAAGCUUCAGGUAACCAGGAACCGUACCCCAAACCGACACAGGUGGUCGGGUAGAGAAUACCAAGGCGCUUGAGAGAACUCGGGUGAAGGAACUAGGCAAAAUGGCACCGUAACUUCGGGAGAAGGUGCGCCGGCUAGGGUGAAGGAUUUACUCCGUAAGCUCUGGCUGGUCGAAGAUACCAGGCCGCUGCGACUGUUUAUUAAAAACACAGCACUCUGCAAACACGAAAGUGGACGUAUAGGGUGUGACGCCUGCCCGGUGCCGGAAGGUUAAUUGAUGGGGUUAGCGCAAGCGAAGCUCUUGAUCGAAGCCCCGGUAAACGGCGGCCGUAACUAUAACGGUCCUAAGGUAGCGAAAUUCCUUGUCGGGUAAGUUCCGACCUGCACGAAUGGCGUAACGAUGGCGGCGCUGUCUCCACCCGAGACUCAGUGAAAUUGAAAUCGCUGUGAAGAUGCAGUGUAUCCGCGGCUAGACGGAAAGACCCCGUGAACCUUUACUGUAGCUUUGCACUGGACUUUGAGCCUGCUUGUGUAGGAUAGGUGGGAGGCUUUGAAGCGUGGACGCCAGUUCGCGUGGAGCCAUCCUUGAAAUACCACCCUGGCAUGCUUGAGGUUCUAACUCUGGUCCGUGAUCCGGAUCGAGGACAGUGUAUGGUGGGCAGUUUGACUGGGGCGGUCUCCUCCUAAAGAGUAACGGAGGAGUACGAAGGUGCGCUCAGACCGGUCGGAAAUCGGUCGUAGAGUAUAAAGGCAAAAGCGCGCUUGACUGCGAGACAGACACGUCGAGCAGGUACGAAAGUAGGUCUUAGUGAUCCGGUGGUUCUGUAUGGAAGGGCCAUCGCUCAACGGAUAAAAGGUACUCCGGGGAUAACAGGCUGAUACCGCCCAAGAGUUCAUAUCGACGGCGGUGUUUGGCACCUCGAUGUCGGCUCAUCACAUCCUGGGGCUGAAGCCGGUCCCAAGGGUAUGGCUGUUCGCCAUUUAAAGUGGUACGCGAGCUGGGUUUAGAACGUCGUGAGACAGUUCGGUCCCUAUCUGCCGUGGACGUUUGAGAUUUGAGAGGGGCUGCUCCUAGUACGAGAGGACCGGAGUGGACGAACCUCUGGUGUUCCGGUUGUCACGCCAGUGGCAUUGCCGGGUAGCUAUGUUCGGAAAAGAUAACCGCUGAAAGCAUCUAAGCGGGAAACUUGCCUCAAGAUGAGAUCUCACUGGGAACUUGAUUCCCCUGAAGGGCCGUCGAAGACUACGACGUUGAUAGGCUGGGUGUGUAAGCGUUGUGAGGCGUUGAGCUAACCAGUACUAAUUGCCCGUGAGGCUUGACCAUAUAACACCCAAACA